UACGUAGGGCGCGAGCGUUGUCCGGAAUCAUUGGGCGUAAAGAGCUCGUAGGCGGCCGGUUGCGUCUGCUGUGAAAUCCCGGGGCUUAACCCCGGGCGUGCAGUGGAUACGGGCUGGCUGGAGGCAGGCAGGGGAGAAUGGAAUUCCUGGUGUAGCGGUGGAAUGCGCAGAUAUCAGGAGGAACACCGAUGGCGAAGGCAGUUCUCUGGGCCGUAACUGACGCUGAGGAGCGAAAGCGUGGGGAGCGAACAGG
rnacentral:rRNA from 1 species